rnacentral:rRNA from 1 species
GACGAACGCUGGCGGCGUGCUUAGCACAUGCAAGUCGAACGGGAUCCGGGCUUUCGGGUUUGGUGAGAGUGGCGAACGGGUGAGUAACACGUGAGUAACCUGCCCCCUUCUUUGGGAUAACGUCGGGAAAUCGGCGCUAAUACUGGAUAUUCUUGCUGCAUCGCAUGGUGUGGUUUGGAAAGGGUUUCUGGUGGGGGAUGGGCUCGCGGCCUGUCCGCUUGUUGGUGGGGUGAUGGCCUACCAAGGCCUUGACGGGUAGCCGGCCGGGGAGGGCGUCCGGGGGGGGGGGGACGGGGACACGGCCGAGGCGGGGGCGGGGGGCGGGAGGGGGGAGGAGGGGGCGGGGGGCGGAAGCCUGAGGGGGCGAGGCGGCGUGAGGGAUGGCGGGGUGCGGGUUGUGGGCGUCUGGGGGGAGGGGGCAGGGGGCCUUGUUGUGGGGGGUUUGAGGGUACGGGCAGAAGAAGCGCCGGCUAACUACGUG